GAUGAAGAACGUAGCGAAAUGCGACACUUAGUGUGAAUUGCAGAAUUCCGUGAAUCAUCGAGUCUUUGAAGGCACAUUGCGCCCAAGGUUCCGACCGAGGGCAUGCCUGCCUCAGCGUCAGCUUCACCCUCUCCCCUAUACAAGGGGGACUUGACCUCCUGCUAAGCAGCUGGUCUAAAGCAAUCGACCCGCUGUCCAUUGCUGUAAUGGGCCUUGACAAAAUGAAAGGGGCUAACCCUUCUCAAUGUCUGCCUAAUGCAAUGGACGGUUUGGAUCCAUGGAUCUCUUUUCUGACCUGAGCUCAGGUAAGAUUACCCGCUGAACUUAAGCAUAUCAAUAAGCGGAGGA
rnacentral:misc_RNA from 1 species